UUGAGUACAGUCAUCUCCUGUCCCUGAUUCUUACCUGUCUAUUCCUGGCCCUCAACUCAAGAUGCAAGGACCAGCUUCCCCCAGGGCCCAGAUCCCUCCCACUCCUGGAAAAAUACUGCAGCUUGGCUUCCCAAAUGUGCUGAUGUCCCUCAGAGAGGCCAACCCUUCGACUACACUUCAGUGCUGAGUCGCUCUUUGUGCAACACCAUCUGCUCCAUGCUCUUCAGUAGCUGCUUUGACCAUGAGGAUAAGCAUCUGGUGUCAAUCACCUGGCUCUUCCACGACAACUUCCAGAUCAUCAAUAAUCUCUAGGGCAAGCUCACACCUUGUCCUAACUCCGGGAAGUCCCCUGGGCGAGUCGCAGGCGCACCUGGAGCUCCUCCUCUAUCUCACCGUCAUCCUGCAGAGCUGCUCGCUGCGGCCGCUGGGGGCGCCCGAGGACAUCGACUCGGCCCUAGUUGAUUCCCACUGCAAAAGGCCGCCUAGGCUAGUCCCAAUGCGCCUGCGCAAGCGUUGAGUUUUGUUUUGUUUUUCCCCCCACCCGCCCACGUGGGCUGCUCUUUCUCCUCGUUGUCACACUCUUUGGCUGGAUCAUCCUUGCCAUCAAACCCUCCCACUCUCCCUACCAUCAGUCUUCUGCAUGCUCUGGCGCUCUCCCACGCUUAUCUACCAACCCGGAGUCAACAAAAGACCUCAAGGAGGAGAAGCCUUAUGUUUUAGCCACUUACAGACCCUGAAACUUGCCUGUGUGUCUCCACUUUCUCUGGAGCUUUUGUUUCGUUUCCUAGUAAUGUUAUCUUGGAAAUGAACACGACACAGUCGGCCCGAGUUUAAGGGAGGUGGAUGGCUCGAUGGUUCGUGGCGAAAGAGAGUGAGGUCACCUCUGCCGGUUCUGGCUGCAAGGAGGAUAAACACAGAGCUGGAACUCCUGCUCUCACAUCGGGGAAGCCACAGUGUAGACUCUGAGUCCCUGGAGGCAGGCUUGGGGGUAAGGACUGUGAAGGACUAAAGAGGAAGGACAGAGAAAGAAGAACCAAGGUGGAAAAACCUACAAGAUACUCUGGACAGAGAGAGAACAGGAGGCUAAUAGAGGGAUGGACAGAGAAAGGCACGUGGAAAGCGAGAGACAGAAAGCGAAAAAUGGACACAAGAGAAAGAGAAUAAGAGCUAACCUGUUACCCAUAACGAAUCACCUGGCCCCUAGGAUUCUAAAUGCUUGAAACAGGGGCGCCUGAGUGGCUCAGUAAUUAAGCGUCUGCCUUGGGCUCAGGGCGGGAUCCCGGCGUUAUGGGAUCGAGCCCCACAUCAGGCUCCUCUGCUAUGAGCCUGCUUCUUCCUCUCCCACUCCCCCUGCUUGUGUUCCCUCUCUCUCUGGCUGUCUCUCUCUGUCUAAUACAUAAAUAAAUCUUUAAAUGCUUGAAACAUAUACUCACUCAUUUAUGUCCCAAAAGAGACUCAUGAACU
rnacentral:lncRNA from 1 species